CACAGCACUGUGCUAAACGCUUGGAAAGCACAGUCCAGCAACAGAGACAGUCCCUGCCCACUCCACCCUGCACCUCUCUGGGAGAGGUACCAGGCAUCACUCAAUAGUUGCCUGCAUGAAACUUUUCAGUAACCAUGCGACAGAAGCAAGUCUGCCCUUGGAUGUCAUCCUAAAAAUAGAGGAGGGCCCAACUUCAACGGGAAUGGCAAGUAUCUCUUUCCUGUGUUGUGCAAAACCAGGUUGUUGUAACCGGUUUGAUGACAGUUUUCAAGGAUCCAGGCCACCUCCUCAUGCUGCAGUCAAGCAGUAAGAGUGGGAUUCUGUGGCCAUUUCAUUGAAGAUUCAACCUUUCUCCUGUCAGGAGCACUCAAACUUGAACUGAACCAAUCCACAACAGACAAAGGAGAACACUUUUCAAGGUGAAACCAAAAAGCUUGACUUCAAGAAGGUUUUACACACUUUCUUCUUAGGAAUACGAUAAAGAUGAUAAAUAUAUCAGCUGUUUU